AUCGAUGCAACUCAAAUAUCAUCAAUAAUGCAAAAUGGUUUUAAACAAAAGAUGCAACUGAUGAUCAAAAGUUUUGAUUUGGUCUUUAUUUUCACUCUUUAUGAUGUCAGCAGCGAAUAAAGUAAAAACUCCAUCAGUGCCUUUUAUUACCAGUAUACUCUAUUUAAAACCACUUAAAGACAACAUCCAUUCACCAGCCUGUCUGUGUGUGUGUGUGUGUAGGGUUGAGCAGCAGCUUCUAAGAUAAAAUCAGCAGAAAAAAAGAAAUGUCAAGUACCCAAUGUUAAGGCACCAUAUGGCCUGUUUGUGUGUCUGGUGGUCUAUUGUUUGUCAGGACUUUCUAUUGGACAAUACACACACACACACACACACACACACACACACACACACACACACACACACACACACACACACACACACACACACACACACACACACACACA